UUCCUGCAUCGCUGCAUUUCAUUUUUCCGCGUAUCCACCCAGACCGUACGUCGGACCCUGUCCAAACUCAAUCUGCUAGACUUCAAAUCCUAUAAUGUGUCCGGCCUAAAUUGCCACGUGAAUAAAAAAUCGGCCAAGCAGCGGCUCCUUCGUUUUAUCUUAAUGGCGUCAAGACAAUGGCUUUUGUAAUAAUAGCGGGAACAAACGAGCCAAGCUGACAACCGACGACGACGAAUUAUGUGCGAAUACAUUCCAAGUAUUCAUGUGUGUCUUUUCUAUAUUUUGGUAUUUUGGUAACACUUUUAAAGUUUUAUCAUAAUUUUAAUAUAAAGAUGAUUAAAUUGUUA